CAGGUGGUGGCCAGGUGACAUGCAGCCUUAAUAAUGCUCGUGUGGUGGAUAGACUUUAAACCCUAUCAAGACAGCAAGGAAGCAGGUCAGACCACCUGCAGCUGAGGGAAGUACCAACCUAUAAUGCUGCUUACAAAGUAAGCAGUGCGCUAGACACCCCUGGAAGGGUCACAAGGGUUCGAUCAGCCGUCAGCAUCACCUGUGAGGAAGUACAGCGUCUGAUAGUAUCACCUGUGAGGAAGUACAGCGUCUGAUAGUAAUCUUAGAUAUUAUCUCUUGCGGUUACCCCAGCUCGUACCUACCUAAUAAACAGACCAAAAUAAGAGGUACUGAGUGAUGAUGGUGACCACGUAGUGCUGAGGUGACUGUGUGUGUGUGUACGAGGAGCAGCAAUGACCCCGGUCUGGUCGUACAGUAACUUGAGGAACUCGAGGCAAAGCGGUCUGAUCCGAGGAAGGGUAGAAGUAGUUGCGGUGCCCUGGAUUACACAUGAAGAAACUCUGGGAAACAUUAAGCGCUCUCAUAAAACUCCUUCAUACAAGUUUUUUUUUUUUUUUGUAAAAGCACUUGCCAUGAAGGAGUUUCAGAGUGUUAUUCAUUUUAUCUGUAAUUUUUCAAUAUUUCCAAAAAACUCUAUAUAGAGGAGGUUCAUAAGAGAGCUGACUGUAUGUCCUAAAACAAUUUGGUCAAUUUUAUCAACAAAUCUUACACGUUAACCACAA